UACAACGCACUACCUGUUCAUAGUAGUCGUUGCUGUCAACAGCACACUGCUCACCAUCAACGCAGGGGACUACAUCUUCUACACAGACUGGGCGUGGACAUCCUUCGUUGUGUUCUCGGUGGUCCCGGCAACAUUGAUAAAUAAACGCUGACUAUUCUUCGAUGUAUUAACAAGUGAUUAUGGUAUCUCAACCUAUUACACUCAUAUUAUGACCAUCCAAACACAUAUGGAAUAGAACUCAGCUCCUACAUCUUGAUACCCCUUCUACGCUGUCGGGUGCAAAGACGCAACACGCAUGCUGCCAUAAUGCUUGGCGGUUCGCUGGUUGGCCUAUCCUUCCCGCUGUUCAACAUGGUCAAACUGUUGCUUGUAAGGGACCCGCUCGAGGUGUGCUUCAAGUAUCCGAGACCGACUCUGCCCGCGUACAUGACGACUAUAGAGCCUCAGGUAGGGAAGUUCUACAACUCGCCUGUCGCCCUGGGUUCAGGUGCCGGUGCAGUGCUAACGGUACCCAUCGCUGCGUUGGGUGCAAAACUAAACACGUGG
rnacentral:rRNA from 1 species